ACAGGAUGUAAGCAGGAAGAAACAGGAACUCACUCUCUUAUCUGCUGAGAAGCCAAGGAGGAGGAUUAAAUACCAGAAGACUUCAGAAGCCUGCGUGGGAAUAGUCAACAUAGGCCAGAUGGACCCUAAAACGCCUUUCGGACACGGAGCCCUGCUCAGUGAAAACACUGGCAUACAAAGCCUUGCCUGACUCCCAGGAGCCCAUACCCAGGCUUGCACCUCUCCUCACUCUUUGCCUCUUUUCUUUCCCAGAGGCCACCUCACAGAUGCUCCCAUUUCUGUGAGAAAGGGAAUGUUCCCUACAGUGCCUUGUCUGCAGAAGACCCUGAAGGGCUGCAGCUCCACAAGGACCCCAUAUUCUUGGUUACUCCUGGCUAGAAGGCACACCUGGCACCCUGAACACUCGACUCUCUUCCGCUAUCUACACUAACAGCAAGAUUGGUUGGCCUGAAAUGUCCCUAACCUGGAUCCCCACUUUGCAAGUCAACAGGUCACCAGCCUCCUGCGUCAUCAAUCAUUUUCUCCUCAAGACAGAAGAAGCUUGUCUCCUGCCCUGAGGAGAUCUAUCAAGACUCACAUACCAUCUUCUCUAUCUUAUUCACUUCUGAAUAAAUCUCUUGCCUCAA